rnacentral:sRNA from 1 species
CAGAAUGUGUGUGGGACGAUGUCAAAGUAACAUGUUUUAUACACAAAGUUUAUCCCAAGGCAAUAUGUAAAUUCAAUUUUACAAAUAUUGACGCUGGUGAUUUGGAUGGAGAUGUAUUGUAUCAACAUGUAGACAUUGAGAAUGGGAUGUAUUACAACACUACGUGUACAUAUUGGACUAGUCCGUUUAAUGAAAAUCAUAUUGUAACUGUAACAAUCUACCCAAAUGUUACUGGUAUAAAACAUGGGAAAACAACAACUUUAUAUUUUUUUGCUAUCUAUGGUGAACCAGAGUGUUUGAUGGAAGAGUUUACUAUCACAUGUUCUGUUGAGAAAGUGUAUCCCAAGGCAAUUUGCCAUUUUAAUAUUACAUAU